UGUCAUGUAUGAAAACUCAUUUCCAACUAACCCAAAGUCAAAAAGAUUUUCUCUUAUAUUUUCUUCUGGGAAUUUUAUAAUUUUAUGUUUUACAUUUAGGUCUGUGAUCCAUGUUGAGGUAUUUUUCGUAAAAGUUUAAAAAGCAGCUUGAAGCUCAUCCUUUUGCAUAUUGAUGAUGUCGUAAGCAGAAUUCUAACAUGUUCCCCUCAAAAUAUCCCGCCCUAAUCCUUGGGGCUGUGAAUAUUAUUACAUAAUAUACCCUGAUUAUUUUAGUUUACAUGACGUGAGGCAUUAUGCAGAUGUCAUUAAGGUUACUAAUAAGUUGACAUUCAGAUUUAUCAAUAGGACAAUGAUCUUGGCGGGCUUGAUCUAAUUUACUAACUAGAGUACAGUAUUUGUAUGCUUAUUUUUGUCUGUAGCCGUGCAGUAUGCAGACAAAAUGCUAUCUUUCCCAAGCCCUUUAGGAGUAGAAUGUUUUCUCCAUCUGGCGGCAAAAGAGGAAGUCCCAAAGAUUCUAAGCAUGAGAAGGAUUUAACAUGAGGUUUCUCGUGUGAAGAUAGAGGGCUGUACGGGACAAGCGUUGCAGCCGGCCUAUAGAAGCCAGCAAGACAAGGAAACCCCAAUUCUGCAACUUGUGAGGAAUUGGAUUCUGCCAACAACCAUGUGAACGUGAAUGCAGAUUCUUGCCCGGAGUCUCCAGAUGAGGACCCAGUACAGCCAUUUCAACCUUGCAAGUUCUCGGACGAAGUCUAGGUUGUGCUGAGAGGUCCACUGCUGAGCGUGAUCACAGUACAGCACGACAGGACCCCAAGGGAAUCCUUGAUGAUGGCACAUCUCCUGCAGAGGGUGCGCUUGGCACCCAGAAACUGUAACGUCUCGAGUCAGCGUCAGAUAAUCAAGGAUCCAGGGAUUGGGGGCUGUCACUUACUCCGGUGAUGGAUCUGUCUUAAACCAGAGGAUCAGCGGGGCCUAAUGAAUCAGCCCAGGGAAGAAUGUUCCAGUUGGAGACAGAGAUCCCGACUGCCAACAAAACCACGUGCCGCUCCCCUCGCCCGACCAGCAAGGGCUUUGGGCAGAUGCCGCAUAAAACCCAGGGACAGCUCGAACCGAGGAGCUUCUGGGCAUUCAGCACUAAAUUGAAAGAGAGUACAAACGAUGCAGAAAAUAUGACCGAGAUCACCCUGGGCGAGCAGAGCUUCCUUUUAAUGCAUGGAAAAGUUGAGGCUCCUCUCCCCAAAUCGGAAGGUUAGAUGGGGCUGGUCACAGCUGGAGAAAACUGCUCACAGAGAUGAUGUCACUGAUGCUGAGUCCUGCCUUUGAGUCACCGCUGUAUGAUAAACUUUUGCCGAGUCCUCUCAAGAAAUACAUACACUUCUGGCUAAGCGGCCAUCCAGAACAUACAGAGGACCUUGAUGGAGUUAAAGAAGAAUUGAGUCACCUGAUGAUGAAACUCAGCUGCUCGCUCCUGGAAUGAGUAACUGCUGCUCAGGAGAGGUGGGCAGCUAGGUGGGUGGGGACGAAAAGCGUUGCUACUUAGCAUUGGAAAACCCCAAGGGAAGACUUUCUGAAAAUGAGACGAUGCCUCAUUAGCUGUUGGAGAUGAAGGCACGUUGUGGAUUGCCCACUUGAAAGUUGUAUUCUCCAAGCCACAGAAUCUGAAGUUUAGAAGUGGCCUGAGACCCUGUCUCCAUUUCUUCCCAUCAUGCAGCAUACUGUUGGGCCUUUUCCCCUCACUGACGGCUGGCUAUGCUUGGGGAAUGCCCAACCUGGGCAAUUGGGAAAGCAAAUCUGGGGCUGCAGCAAUUAAAAUGCAAGCAUAGAAUUCAUUGAGAUGAUAAGCAGACAUUACUGGGGAUAUCUGUCCAGCUACUCUUUUUUUUUUUAAUUUUUUUAACGUUUAUUUAUUUUUGAGACCGAGAGAGACAGAGCAUGAAUGGGGGAGGGUCAGAGAGAG
ensembl:lncRNA